rnacentral:rRNA from 1 species
UACGGGGGGGGCAAGCGUUGUUCGGAAUUACUGGGCGUAAAGGGUGCGUAGGCGGUUUGGUAAGUCUUAUGUGAAAUCUAUGGGCUCAACUCAUAGACUGCAUGAGAAACUGCCGGGCUUGAGUGUGGGAGAGGUGAGUGGAAUUCCUGGUGUAGCGGUGAAAUGCGUAGAUAUCAGGAGGAACACCUGUGGCGAAAGCGGCUCACUGGACCACAACUGACGCUGAUGCACGAAAGCUAGGGGAGCAAACAGG